ensembl:lncRNA
AAAUGGCUCAUCAAAUAAGAGUUUAAAUUAAAAUUAUAUAAACCGGGUUCAGCUAAAGUGCUACAGUACUCAAAUUCCAAAGCAUCUCAUGAAAUGACUGAUAUGUUAAUGCAAGCCCAGACAGCAAGCCAACAUUGAAUAAACAUUGUUUUUCCAUCUGAAUCAUCAUUAUGGUUGAUAUUGAAAUUUCAAUGCAAAAUAAAUGUUGAAUCACCAUUACCAUAUCGAUGAAAACCUGAUGUUAUUAAUGUUGAUGGCAACAAUAUUGGAACAACAUUGAUCUAUAGUUAUCUUUAUGAUUGAUUAAGCAUUGAUAUUUGGUUACCGGGUGAUCCCUGAAUGUGUUGAAAAGUCAUUGAUUUAUAGUGGACAGAGAAACGACGCGGUUGUUGAAAAGUCAUCGAAAUAUAGUUGACCGGGAAAUAUGAUUGAAAAUGCAUCGAAAUAUAGUUGACCGGGAAAUAUGAUUGAAAAUCCAUCGAUUUUUGGUGGACCGGGAGAUCAACGGGUGGUAUACCCAACGUACUGCACCGGACACAGCUCAUUUCUAGACACAAGCGUACAGAUCACUAUUGCACACCAAAUGCUCUUACUCAACAGAUGGGGACAGCUACCGUCACCCAAUUUUCUUUCGCACAAGCUGUGCAAAAGUGGCUGCGCUAUGCGCCAGACCGGGCAGGAGGGACUGGACGACAACUUAUGCAGGCAUCAGAUGACAAUGAAGUGUAAAUUAAGAGUAGAGAGGCUAAUAAACAUGAAUUUGAUUUUAAAUAGUGUGGUGUGUUCUGUGUUUUAUACAAGAUUUCAAAUGUUCCAUUACUUUUUAACAUCCUGGCUGUAGAUAAAGCAGGCUAUUUAAUUUAUGGCAUUACAUUUAAAAUUAACAUUUAAAAACGAUUGAAAUUCCAUUGAAAUCACGUUGAUCCUUAGUUCAGUUGAAAUUUCAACAUUGUUUCAAUAUUCCUGAUAAUUGAAAUACCAUUGAAAUUCCAUUGAUUUAUGGACAGAAUUUCAACAUUGUUUCAAUAUUAAAUCAGGGUGCAAAAUGAUGUUGAAUCAACAUCAGAGUUCGAUGUUGAUUCAAUGACUUAAUGUUGACAACGGAAUGUUGAUUCAACAUAGUUUCAAUGACUGUUUGCUAUCUGGGAGGAGACUCAGAGCCACAGGUUUUUGGCACCAAACACAACAAAACUCAACAUUAAUUUAUUUUCAAAAGGUUGUCAUGGAGAAAUGGGGGGGUGUACCAUAGACUGUAAAAAAAUAUGGACGUAGUAUCCGUGACGUCACCCAUAGACUUCUCAAUAGCGGUUUUGAAGCUCAAAGUGUGCAGAGCGGGCCGUCGCCAUCUUGGCAGCGCGUCACCGCGCGACUCUCCCGGAUAAUCGAAAAUGGGCAAAAAGGCGGGAGCUGGUUGCUGAAGCCACGCCCACCUAGCGCGACGGCAUUGUCAGCAGCGGCAAUCCACCUGUCACUCAAGUGACCACGCCCUUAAUUAUGCAGAACUUUAAGGCUUAAUAUAAUUUAAACGGAUGAGUUAUAAAAAAAUUCACCCCCCUCACAGUUGUCAUGAAGGGCAAAAUUAGCAAUAUAGACCAAAAUAAUUUUUUGAACCAGGCUGUAAACAUGUUUUUUUCUGCUGUAAAGUUGGGCAUUUUAACAUGGGGAGUCUAUGGGACUGACUCCCUUUUGCAGCCAGCCUCAAGCGGCCAGUCGAUGAAUUACAGUUUUAGUCACUUCCUAUGGAGUCAAUAUAAUAUCACAUAUAUACGCAAAAAAAUAAAGUUUUGCAAAGGAAAAUAAAGUUUUGCAAACAAAAAUUAAAGUAUUGAGGAAAAUAAUUUUGCUUUUUGCAAACAAAAAUAAAGAAUUGCAAAACAUAAAUGAUACAUGCGAA